UUGAAGGCAAUGAUGUUCUAAACUACCUAUUUUAUGAAGGUGUAGAAAAUUCCUUUGUGAUUAGAAAAUUACCAAUGGAUCCUUCUGAGCCUUCA